rnacentral:rRNA from 1 species
GACGAACGCUGGCGGCGUGCCUAAUACAUGCAAGUCGAGCGAAUGAAUGGGAGCUUGCUCCUGUUCGUUAGCGGCGGACGGGUGAGUAACACGUGGGCAACCUGCCUGUAAGACUGGGAUAACUUCGGGAAACCGGAGCUAAUACCGGAUAGUUUCUUUCUUCACAUGAAGAAGGAUGGAAAGACGGUUUUACUGUCACUUACAGAUGGGCCCGCGGCGCAUUAGCUAGUUGGUGAGGUAACGGCUCACCAAGGCGACGAUGCGUAGCCGACCUGAGAGGGUGAUCGGCCACACUGGGACUGAGACACGGCCCAGACUCCUACGGGAGGCAGCAGUAGGGAAUCUUCCGCAAUGGACGAAAGUCUGACGGAGCAACGCCGCGUGAGUGAAGAAGGUUUUCGGAUCGUAAAACUCUGUUGUCAGGGAAGAACAAGUACCAGAGUAACUGCUGGUACCUUGACGGUACCUGACCAGAAAGCCACGGCUAACUACGUGCCAGCCGCCGCGGUAAGAC